rnacentral:rRNA from 1 species
UACAGAGGGUGCGAGCGUUGUCCGGAAUCACUGGGCGUAAAGGGCGCGUAGGCGGCUUGAUAAGCGUGCGGUGAAAGCCCGGGGCUCAACCCCGGGUCGGCCGUGCGAACUGUCGAGCUGGAGCACUGUAGAGGCAGGUGGAAUUCCGGGUGUAGCGGUGGAAUGCGUAGAGAUCCGGAAGGACACCAGCGGCGAAGGCGGCACUCUGGGCCGGUACUGACGCUGAGGAGCGAAAGCGUGGGUAGCAAACAGG